GUUUAGAAAGUUUACCUUCGUGCAUGAAUACGUUAAAAAUUGUCUGGAAUCAAGUUGUGGCUACUCUGCAAAACAGAGCAUGUUCACCGCUUCUGAAAUCCAUGGGGUGCAGCUGCACCGUGCUUAGGAACCAACUGAUGGGUUCGGUCAUGUUAGACCUUGUAUUAAGAAAUUCCCUUAGGUUGUAUGCAUAUAGUAAAGUCUUAAAUUAACCCGACG
rnacentral:lncRNA from 1 species